rnacentral:rRNA from 1 species
GACGAACGCUGGCGGCGUGCUUAACACAUGCAAGUCGAACGGAAAGGCCCUGCUUUUGUGGGGUGCUCGAGUGGCGAACGGGUGAGUAACAUGUGAGUAACCUGCCCUUGACUUUGGGAUAACUUCAGGAAACUGGGGCUAAUACCGGAUAGGAGCUCCUGCUGCAUGGUGGGGGUUGGAAAGUUUCGGCGGUUGGGGAUGGACUCGCGGCUUAUCAGCUUGUUGGGGGGGUAGUGGCUUACCAAGGCUUUGACGGGUAGCCGGCCUGAGAGGGUGACCGGCCACAUUGGGACGGGGAUACGGCCCAGACUCCUACGGGAGGCAGCAGUGGGGAUUAUUGCACAAUGGGCGGAAGCCUGAUGCAGCAACGCCGCGUGCGGGAUGACGGCCUUCGGUUUGUAAACCGCUUUCGCCUGUAACGAAGCGUGAGUGACGGUAAUGGGUAAAGAAGCACCGGCUAACUACGUG